rnacentral:rRNA from 1 species
GUAGGGAAUAUUGGGCAAUGGAUGCAAGUCUGACCCAGCCAUCCCGCGUGCCGGAAGAAGGCCCUCAGGGUUGUAAACGGCUUUUGACGGUGAAGAAUCGACAGGAUGCGUCCUGUUUUGACGGUAGCCGUUGAAUAAGCACCGGCUAACUCCGUGCCAGCAGCCGUGGUAAUACGGAGGGUGCGAGCGUUGUCCGGAUUUAUUGGGUUUAAAGGGUGCGUAGGCUGGAAGGUCAGUCAGCGGUGAAAAGCUGUCGCUUAACGAUAGUCUUGCCGCAGAUACUUCCUUUCUUGGAUGAGGAGGAGGCCACUGGAACGGAUGGUGUAGCGGUGAAAUGCAUAGAUAUCAUCCAGAACACCGAUUGCGAAGGCAGGUGGCUGUACCUUAAUCGACGCUGAUGCACGAAAGCAUGGGGAGCAAACAGGAUUAGAUACCCGAGUAGUCC